UAAAGUAAAGAAUGAUAAAGUAAAGAAAAGAAUGUAAAGUAGCUGAUUCCAUAAUAUGAGAAAAGGUGGUCUUGUAUUCUUACAUUGGUAUAUGAUUUCAUUUGAGUUCUUAUUUCACAUACAGUACUUUAUGCCUUACAUACUUAGUACAUUCUCCCGUACUGAUGUCUCUCUUGGGGAACCUGCAAUUCAUGCUGCAGGUACAGGAG
rnacentral:lncRNA from 1 species